GCCCGGGUGGUGGAAUUGGUAGACACAAGGGAUUUAAAAUCCCUCGAUCGUAAGAUCGUGCCGGUUCAAGUCCGGCCCCGGGCACCA
rnacentral:tRNA from 1 species